AUGCAGUCGAGCGAGAAGGUAGAGAGUGAUUCUUCGGAUGAGUGAUCUACCGGGCAGCGGCGGACGGGUGAGUAACGCGUGGGUAACCUGCCUUAUACUGGGGGAUAACAUUCUGAAAAGGAUGCUAAUACCGCAUAAGCGCACAGCAUCGCAUGAUGCCGUGUGAAAAACUCCGGUGGUAUAAGAUGGACCCGCGUCUGAUUAGCUAGUUGGUGAGAUAAUAGCUCACCAAGGCAACGAUCAGUAGCCGACCUGAGAGGGUGAUCGGCCACAUUGGGACUGAGACACGGCCCAAACUCCUACGGGAGGCAGCAGUGGGGAAUAUUGCACAAUGGGGGAAACCCUGAUGCAGCGACGCCGCGUGAAGGAUGAAGGUUUUCGGAUCGUAAACUUCUAUCAGCAGGGAAGAAAAUGACUGUACCUGACUAAGAAGCCCCGGCUAACUACGUGCCAGCAGCCGCGGUAAUACGUAGGGGGCAAGCGUUAUCCGGAAUUACUGGGUGUAAAGGGUGCGUAGGCGGUAAAGUAAGUUAGGUGUGAAAGCCCGGGGCUCAACCUCGGGACUGCACUUAAAACUGCUUUACUAGAAUACAGGAGAGGUAAGUGGAAUUCCUAGUGUAGCGGUGAAAUGCGUAGAUAUUAGGAGGAACACCAGUGGCGAAGGCGACUUACUGGACUGUGAUUGACGCUGAGGCACGAAAGCGUGGGGAGCGAACAGGAUUAGAUACCCUGGUAGUCCACGCCGUAACGAUGAAUGCUAGGUGUCGGGGGUCGAACCUCGGUGCCGCAGCUAACGCAUUAAGCAUUCCACCUGGGGAGUACGAUCGCAAGAUUGAAACUCAAGA
rnacentral:rRNA from 1 species